GGGGUGGUAGCUCAGUUGGUAGAGCAACGGCCUUUUAAGCCGUGGGUCCCGGGUUCGAGUCCCGGCCGCCUCACCA
rnacentral:tRNA from 2 species